CAACUGUCCAACGUCGCGGCAGGAGACGGGCGCGGGAGGAAGAAAUCUCUCCUCCACUCGUCUUCCAGCGCUCCUCCACUCUCCGCGGCCGCCUCCUCCACCCACGCCAACCUGUCCUCCACCGCCAUGACCCGCCUCAAAGUCCACGUCGUCUACUGCGGCGCCUGAGGGUACGGUCCGAAGUUCGAGCAGCUUCGGGACCAGUUGGAGGCCGAGUUUCCGAAGCAGCUCGAUAUCACCAGCUAUGGCACGCCCACGGCCACCGGGUACCUGGAGGUCACCGUGGGGAACAAGCUGGUUCACUCCAAGGACAAGGGCGACGGCUACAUCGACACGGAGAAGAAGUACAUCCGGAUUGCUGAUGCCGUGUGCGAUGCCCUCGAGGAGUUGGAGGCACAAGAGAAGGUGAUCAAGGCCUCCGAUGACCCCAAAUGAUGACCCCUGACCUCUGAUGACCUCCCGGCAAUGACCUAUGACCCCCGCCCCGCCUCGACCUGCCCCGACGAGCCCCCAGCACAGUGGUACCUCAGCCCCAAAGCCCUGAAGGGUCGGGCUGGGGUGGAAGGCGCUUGGGGCUUGGUUGAGUCUCCUAAUGGGGCAGGUGGGGUGGGGAAGGGGUGGGGGUUGAUGGGGGGAAAGGGUGAAGAAGAUGAAGAAGAAGAAGAAAGGGAUGGAGAGAAUGAGGAAGAAGGUAGAGAUGGAAGGUUAAGAUUGGGGUGUGAGGUGAAGGAAGGAAGGAAGGAAGGGAGGGGAGGAGAAGGAGAAAAAGAAGAUGAUGAUGAUAAAGGGGAGAGAGAGAGAGAAUGAGGGGUUACGAUAAGUUAUUCUCUCUCUCUCUCUCUCUCUCUCUCUCUCUCUCUCUCUAUUCAGUUCUAAAUCUGCUUCAUCAUUUCUCAUUCAUCAUUUUAUCCUUUCUUUCUUUCUUUCUUUCUUUUUCUUCCUUCUCUCUAUAU